AUACGGAGGAUCCGAGCGUUAUCCGGAUUUAUUGGGUUUAAAGGGUGCGCAGGCGGGAGAUUAAGUCGGCGGUGAAAUUUUGCAGCUCAACUGUAAAAGGGCCUUCGAAACUGGUUUCCUUUAGUGUAGAUGAAGUAGGCGGGAUUUGUGGUGUAGCGGUGAAAUGCAUAGAUAUCACGAGGAACUCCGAUUGCGCAGGCAGCUUACUAAACUACUACUGACGCUCAGGCACGAAGGCGUGGGGAUCAAACAGGAUUAGAUACCCUGGUAGUCCACGCAGUAAACGAUGAUUACUAGCUGUUUGCGAUACAAUGUAAGCGGCUGAGCGAAAGCGUUAAGUAAUCCACCUGGGGAGUACGUUCGCAAGAAUGAAACUCAAAUGAAUUGGCGGGG
rnacentral:rRNA from 1 species